rnacentral:rRNA from 1 species
AGUGAACGCUGGCGGUAGGCCUAACACAUGCCAGUCGAACGGCAGCACAGUAAGAGCUUGCUCUUACGGGUGGCGAGUGGCGGACGGGUGAGGAAUACAUCGGAAUCUGCUUUUUCGUGGGGGAUAACGUAGGGAAACUUACGCUAAUACCGCAUACGACCUACGGGUGAAAGCAGGGGGUCUUCGGACCUUGCGCGAUUGAAUGAGCCGAUGUCGGAUUAGCUAGUUGGCGGGGUAAAGGCCCACCAAGGCGACGAUCCGUAGCUGGUCUGAGAGGAUGAUCAGCCACACUGGAACUGAGACACGGUCCAGACUCCUACGGGAGGCAGCAGUGGGGAAUAUUGGACAAUGGGCGCAAGCCUGAUCCAGCCAUACCGCGUGGGUGAAGAAGGCCUUCGGGUUGUAAAGCCCUUUUGUUGGGAAAGAAAAGCAGCAGGUUAAUACCCCGCUGUUCUGACGGUACCCAAAGAAUAAGCACCGGCUAACUUCGUG